GAGAAGAAUAGGAAGAUGGAGGAGGAGAAGAGGAAGCGGGACUAUGAACGCCUUCAAGGACUAGAAGCAAGUCAAGCGGAAUUGGCAGCUAAAUUCCAGCGACAGCAGGAGCAGAUCGACUCACUUAGCCAGCAAAGGGGGUCUCAGCAGCUGCAGCAGCUAGCGGAUGAUCCAGCAUUGGAUACCACCGCCCCAUCCAUGCCGAGAAGCAGCGUGGGUUCCGCCCCGGGCGACACAGUAGUGCUGGAUAGAUACCCCGUGGAUGAAAUCACGGAGAACACUAACUGCGAGCUACACUUCAAAAUGAAGAACAUAUCCAUGAAGGUGGCGGACGCCGUUGCUUUUUCA
rnacentral:rRNA from 1 species